rnacentral:misc_RNA from 1 species
UGGAACAAUCUAUAGCUAUGUGAUUGACAAUCAUAAAGCUGCAGUUCGUGAGAAGUUUGAACGCAAACUUCAUUCUCAUUAAACACUCACCCCGCAUUUCUUCCACAAAUGAAAAAGAAAGCAGAGGAAGAAGAUAAUUUCUUUCCUAAAUUUCUGUAAAAUUAAGAAUCUUAAAAAUGACAAAAAUAAUCAAGCUUCAGCAGGCGGAGGUAAAUUUAAGGCUGUCGAGGUGAUGAACUCUCCGUCCAAAAUAAAUUGGACUAAUUAUAUAUUUAUACCGUGAAAGAUAAUCAAGAUAAAAUGAAGCGCAGAACGAAAAAAGAGAAAAAGCCUACGGAGGAGGGCAAGCACUCGAUGAGGAGAAAAACUAUUAUUGUACGAAGGGAGGAGGAUUGUGGCAGAGAUUGAUUUUCAUCUGCAAUGGCUGCAACGGUAAAAAUCACGAGGGAUCACGAUACGUAGAGAAGGGGAAGAUGUGGAAGACGCUGCGUGAUACGGAGUCCAUUGAUCUUCGGAUCAUUUGUCUUUCUGUUGGCUGCAGUGUUUGUUCAGAAUUUUCAUUACGAAAGAAACGCCGA